rnacentral:lncRNA from 10 species
AUUUAUUUGUGGUUUCUAGCAAUAGUAGUAACCCAAAUUUGUCUAAUAGUGAAAAAUGAAUUAAAAUUUUUGGCUUUCUAAGACAAUGCAGAAAUUGAAAUGGCACAAAUAUGGGAGAGGGACCAACAAAGAAGAGAAGAUGAUUUGUAGGAUGCUGUGGUUUGAAUGUUUGUUCCCUCAAAAACUCAUGUUGAAAUUUAAUCAUCAUUGUAGCAAUAUUAAGAGGUGUGACAUUUAACGGGUAAUUAGGCCAUGAGGACUCCAGCCUCAUGGGUGCAUUCAAUGCCUUAAUAAGAGAGUUUUUAGUCAUGGGCUCUCUUUCUUUUUUCCCUCUUUUCUUCUGUCAUGUUACGACAUAACAAGAAGGCCCUUGCAAGACACCAGUACCUUGAUAUUUGACUUCCAGUCUCCAGAACUUGGAACCUGAACAGUCUGCUGAAGCACCUGAUGUUUGGCCUUCCUGAAUGUCAUGUAAUACGUACUUCACCAUCAAUUCAUACAGCAGAUAUCAUCAUACACAGUCCAGGUAUGAAGAUCUGGGCUCAGAGAGACUAAGUAAGUGAAUUGCCUGAAGACACAUUGUUGUGUACAUGCUUUCUCUGUGGAAGCUGUGGCAAAUUUCCAGACUUGGCAUCAGGUGGCUUUUGAUGAUUCUCAAAGAUAAUAUUCAUCUAACAUGAAUACAUUUUACUGCUCCUGGGGACACCUAUAAGAAUGCCCCACUGUGGCCGGGCACAGUGUCACGCCUAUAAUUCCAGCACUUUGAGAGGCCAAGGGGGGCAGAUCACCUGAAGUCGGAAGUGUGAGACCAGCCUGACCAGCGUGGAGAAACCCCAUCUCUACUAAAAAUACAAAAUCAGCCGGGCAUGGUGGCGCAUGCCUGUAAUCACAGCUACUCAGGAGGCUGAGGCAGGAGAAUUGCUUGAACCCGGGAGGCGGAGGUUGUGGUAAGCUGAGAUUGCAACAUUGCACUUCAGCCUGGACAACAAGAGCAAAACUCCGUCUCGAAACAACAACAACAACAACAGCAACAACAACAAAAUGCCCCACUGCCUAAAAAUAUAUCCUAAACACGAAGUUCAAAAAUGUUUUAAUCAAUGAAAGCAAAAAUAAAAUGUGUGUGGAGCUUCCCAAAGGUAAAAGAUUGCUUAGCAAGUAUUAAUUUUCUCAUUAAGACAAAUUUUAAGUGAUUGCUAUUUAUUUUCUUUGUUAUAUACUGUUUCGUAAAAGUAUCUUUUUGUAAUUUUUUAAAAAAGUAUGCAAAUCCCCCCCACACAUAUAAAGCUCAAUAUAUUUUCACAAAGUUAUAUAUAUAUUCAGAAACUGGGGCAGGGUAAUAAAUAUACUGCUCACAUUUGACAUCUAUCACUUCAGUUCACUUACCAAAAAACUACACAAAAGCAUUUUGUGUCUCCUUUUACACUUUGCCCACUGAAUUUACAGUCCUGUCCAUGUUUUGGUAAAUGGAGCCAGACUGUCUCAGCUUUAUUCCCAAUUCAUGUUCACUGAACUACAGCAAAGCUCUACAUCAAAAUAGACCAUAAACAUGUUUCUUCAAAUGUAAAACAGAAGUAAUUAUAUUCUGUACAGUAAGAAAAGAUUAAUGAGAUAGUGCCCAUAAAGUAUUCAUUUAAAAAGCUCUAGAAAAAAAAUAAAUUCAAAAAUACAUUUUCCUGACCCCUUAAAAAUAAAAUUAGGGAGCUCUCCAAUGAAGUUGAAUUUUGUAUUUGUUUGUUCUUAACUAUAUAUUUGCUGAAUGAAAUUUCUUUUUCUUUUUUUUUUUUUUCUUUUGAGACAAAGUCUCACUUUGUUACCCAGGCUGGAGUAAGUGGAGUAAGUGGCGUGAUCUUGGCUCCUUUGCAGCCUCAACCUCCCAGGUUCAAACCAUCCUCCUGCCUCAGCCCCUCAUUAGCUGGAACUACAGGAGUGUACCACCACACCCAGCUAAUUUUUGUAUUUUUUUGUACAGACUGGGUUUCACCAUGUUGCCCAGGCAGGCCUCGAACUCCUAAGCCCAAGCCAACCACGGGCCUUGGCCUCCCGAAGUGCUGGGAUUACAGGCAUGAGCCACUGCACCCAGCUGUGAAUGGUAUCUUACUAUUAUCUUUCUUUCACAUUUAGUGUCUUAUUUUCAUUACCUCCCUAGGGUUUUUUUUUUUUCCAUAUCUUUUCUACUAAAUUUUCUGUUCAGUGCCUUUCCUCAAACUUUCUUGUCUUUGUCUUGUUUUAUUUCUCAUGACCUCUCUCUGCUCCAACAAGCAAGACAAAACAUUUCCCGAUUCCCAUUAGUGAGCAAUUUAUUUAUGUUUAAUUUGAAUUUGAUAUUUUAUGGAGCAAAGGACCUUGCUUUGUAUUUCAUGCUUUUAAAUAUUCUAUCUCUGAUUGUAAUGUAUAACAAUAAGUAAGAAUUUUUGAGGUACAUGAAUGUUCAGUAUUCAUUUAUUUUAAAUUAUCUAACCAAAUAACAGCACUAAAAACCUGCAUAUUUUUAUAACUAUUUACUAUCAGAUGCAUGUAAUCUACUUAUUAUUGUGAAAAAACAUCUUUGGUCAUUGUCAGAAGGACAGCAUUUUUGAUAUGAUAAUCAAAGAGCACUCGCUUGCAUAAAAUUAUGUCACAAAUCACAUUAUUUUAUUCUGGAAACAUCUAUAUUCUGCUGAUGAUUCACCAGAAAAUCUUAAAACACAUUCAAAAAUGCUAUUUUAGGUGUUUUAUAAACAGAAGUUGUGUGUGUGUGUGUAUCAAUUAAAAUGCUGCAAAAUGACAGUUUGUAUAGUACUUUCAAGAUCUUUCUUCCCCAAGGGUUAAUCAGUUCUAAGAAACUGAAUCCUAUUUUUGUUUCCA